GACGAACGCUGCCGGCGUGCCUUAAUACAUGCAAGUAGAACGCACAGGAUGCACCGUAGUUUACUACACCGUAUUCUGUGAGUUGCGAACGGGUGAGUAACGCGUAGGUAACCUGCCUGGUAGCGGGGGAUAACUAUUGGAAACGAUAGCUAAUACCGCAUAAGAACAUUUACUGCAUGGUAGAUGUUUAAAAGGUGCAAAUGCAUCACUACCAGAUGGACCUGCGUUGUAUUAGCUAGUAGGUGAGGUAACGGCUCACCUAGGCGACGAUACAUAGCCGACCUGAGAGGGUGAUCGGCCACACUGGGACUGAGACACGGCCCAGACUCCUACGGGAGGCAGCAGUAGGGAAUCUUCGGCAAUGGGGGGAACCCUGACCGAGCAACGCCGCGUGAGUGAAGAAGGUUUUCGGAUCGUAAAGCUCUGUUGUUAAGGAAGAACGAGUGUGAGAAUGGAAAGUUCAUACUGUGACGGUACUUAACCAGAAAGGACGGCUAA
rnacentral:rRNA from 1 species